AACGCUGGCGGCGUGCCUAACACAUGCAAGUCGAGCGCGUCUUAUCGGUGCUUGCACUGAGAAAGAUGAGCGGCGGACGGGUGAGUAACGCGUGGGUAACCUGCCCUAUACACAUGGAUAACAUACUGAAAAGUUUACUAAUACAUGAUAAUAUAUAUUUACGGCAUCGUAGAUAUAUCAAAGUGUUAGCGGUAUAGGAUGGACCCGCGUCUGAUUAGCUAGUUGGUGAGAUAACUGCCCACCAAGGCGACGAUCAGUAGCCGACCUGAGAGGGUGAUCGGCCACAUUGGAACUGAGACACGGUCCAAACUCCUACGGGAGGCAGCAGUGGGGAAUAUUGCACAAUGGGCGAAAGCCUGAUGCAGCAACGCCGCGUGAACGAUGAAGGUCUUCGGAUCGUAAAGUUCUGUUGCAGGGGAAGAUAAUGACGGUACCCUGUGAGGAAGCCCCGGCUAACU
rnacentral:rRNA from 1 species